UACACGCUGUGACUAGCAUAUCAAUAAGCGGAGGAAAAGAAACUAACAAGGAUUCCCCUAGUAACGGCGAGUGAAGCGGGAAGAGCUCAAAUUUGAAAUCUUAAAGGGUUUCCCUUUACGAAUUGUAGUUUAAAGAAGUGUUUUCUGUUGAGGUUUUGGUAAAAGUUCUUUGGAAUAGGACAUCAUAGAGGGUGAGAAUCCCGUAUUUGACCUUUACUUUCAACUUUGUGAUACACUUUCAAAGAGUCGGAUUGUUUGGGAAUGCAGUCCAAAAUGGGUGGUAAAUUUCAUCUAAAGCUAAAUAUUGGCGAGAGACCGAUAGCGAACAAGUACCGUGAGGGAAAGAUGAAAAGAACUUUGAAAAGAGAGUUAAACAGUACGUGAAAUUGUCAAAAGGGAAGCGUUUGACACCAGUGUUGUUUUUCUGAAAAUCAAUUAAAGAACUGUUUAUGCUAAGUUGUUUAGACUUUAUCAGCUAACUGUUUAGUUUUGAGCUUUUCUUUAAUGCACUUUUCAGUUAACAAGUCAACAUCAAUUUCUUUUGCUGUAAAAAAGCUUGAGGAAGGUGGCUUGAGAUUCGUCUUAAGUGUUUAUAGCCUCUUGCCUAUGCAGUCGGAGAGAUUGAGGUCUGCAGCGUAGAUCCUUCGGGGCUAAAUGCAUUUGUGCUAAGUUAUAGCAUUUUAUAGACAACUUGUUGACUAUGAUUUGUCUUGUAGCUUACUCGCUUAUGUUAUUUUACCUACGCUUAGGAUGUUGACAGCAGUAUAGACUGU
rnacentral:rRNA from 1 species